AAACUAACAAGGAUUCCCCUAGUAGCGGCGAGCGAAGCGGGAAGAGCUCAAAUUUAUAAUCUGGCACCUUCGGUGUCCGAGUUGUAAUCUCUAGAAGUGUUUUCCGCGUUGGACCGCACACAAGUCUGUUGGAAUACAGCGGCACAGUGGUGAUACCCCCGUACACGGUGCGGACGCCCAGCGCUUUGUGAUACACUUUCAAUGAGUCGAGUUGUUUGGGAAUGCAGCUCAAAUUGGGUGGUAAAUUCCAUCUAAAGCUAAAUAUUGGCGAGAGACCGAUAGCGAACAAGUACCGUGAGGGAAAGAUGAAAAGCACUUUGGAAAGAGAGUUAACAGUACGUGAAAUUGUUGGAAGGGAAACGCUUGAAGUCAGACUUGCUUGCCGGAGCUUGCUUCGGUUUGCAGGCCAGCAUCAGUUUUCCGGGGUGGAUAAUGGUGGUUUGAAGGUAGCAGCCUCGGCUGUGUUAUAGCUUUCCACUGGAUACAUCCUGGGGGACUGAGGAACGCAGCGUGCUUUUUGCGAAGGUUUCGACCUUUUCACGCUUAGGAUGCUGGUGUAAUGACUUUAAACGAC
rnacentral:rRNA from 1 species